GGGGCUGUAGCUCAGUGGUAGAGCACUUGCCUCACAAGUGUGAGGCACUGGGUUCAAUCCUCAGCACCACUU
rnacentral:tRNA from 1 species